GUGAGGAAUUUUCGGCAAUGGGCGCAAGCCUGACCGAGCAACGCCGCGUGCAGGAGGAAGCUCUGCGGAGUGUAAACUGCUUUUCUGGGGGACGAGCAAGGACAGUACCCCAGGAAGAAGCCCCGGCUAACUACGUGCCAGCAGCCGCGGUAAUACGUAGGGGGCGAGUGUUAUCCAGAAUUACUGGGCGUAAAGCGCCCGCAGGCGGUCCGUUACGUUCAAGGUGACAGUUGCCGGCUUAACCGGCAGAGUACCUUGAAAACUGGCGGACUUGAGGACCAGAGAGGGACCUGGAAUUCCGGGUGUAGCAGUGAAAUGCGUAGAUACCUGGAGGAAUACCAAAGGCGAAGGCAGGGUCCUGGCUGGUACCUGACGCUCAGGGGCGAAAGCUAGGGGAGCGAACGGGAUUAGAUACCCUGGUAGUCC
rnacentral:rRNA from 1 species